rnacentral:rRNA from 1 species
UACGAAGGGUGCAAACGUUGCUCGGAAUUAUUGGGCGUAAAGCGCACGUAGGCGGCAUCGCAAGUCCCAUGUGAAAGCCCACGGCUUAACCGUGGAAGUGCAUGGGAAACUGCAGUGCUUGAGUACUUAAGAGGAUCGCGGAAUUCCCGGUGUAGAGGUGAAAUUCGUAGAUAUUCGCAAGAACACCAGUGGCGAAGGCGGCUCACUGGCCCGGUACUGACGCUGAGGUGCGAAAGCGUGGGGAGCAAACAGG